rnacentral:rRNA from 1 species
AACACAUGCAAGUCGAGGGGCAGCACGGGUAGCAAUACUUGGUGGCGACCGGCGCAAGGGUGCGUAACGCGUGAGCAACAUGCCCGUAUCAGGGGGAUAAUCCAUGGAAACGUGGUCUAAUACCCCAUAGUAAGUUUUUGGGGCAUCUCAAAGAUUUUAAAGCUUUGGUGGAUACGGAUUGGCUCGCGUGACAUUAGCUAGAUGGUAAGGUAACGGCUUACCAUGGCUACGAUGUCUAGGGGUUCUGAGAGGAAGGUCCCCCACACUGGAACUGAGACACGGUCCAGACUCCUACGGGAGGCAGCAGUGAGGAAUAUUGGACAAUGGAUGGAAAUCUGAUCCAGCCAUGCCGCGUGCAGGAAGACGGCCCUAUGGGUUGUAAACUGCUUUUGUAUGGGAGCAAUAAGAUCUACGUGUAGAUUGAUGAGAGUACCAUACGAAUAAGCACCGGCUAACUCCGUGCCAGCAGCCGCGGUAAUACGGAGGGUGCAAGCGUUAUCCGGAUUUGUUGGGUUUAAAGGGUGCGUAGGCGGUUUGAUAAGUCAGCGGUGAAAU